UACGGGGGGGGCAAGCGUUGUUCGGAAUUACUGGGCGUAAAGGGCUCGUAGGCGGCCAACUAAGUCGGAUGUGAAAUCCCCAAGCUUAACUUGGGAACUGCAACCGAUACUGGAUGGCUUGAAUCCGGGAGAGGGAUGCAGAAUUCCAGGUGUCGCGGUGAAAUGCGUAGAUAUCGUAAGGAAGACCAGUGGCGAAGGCGGGUCUCUGGACAGUUCCUGACGCUGAGGCACGAAGGCCAGGGGAGCAAACGGG
rnacentral:rRNA from 1 species